AAACCACACCUGACUAAGCAAGCAGGACAGGAGAUCACAUCGCAGUGAUUCCUGCUUUUCAUUGCUUGAUGCAUUUCCUUCUGACCAGGAAGAUGGAAAACAGGGUUUAAUAACUGUAUCAGACUGACCAUCUUUCAGAGAAGAGCUUAUGCCGGUGGGAUCUUCACAGACGUGAUACCUAGAAAGUUCACAAAGGACC